rnacentral:rRNA from 1 species
AGAGUUUGAUCCUGGCUCAGGGUGAACGCUAGCGGCGCGCCUAACACAUGCAAGUCGUGCGAUCGGCUUGCCGAAGCCGCAAGGCCGAGGCAAGUACGGAGCGGCAAACGGGUGAGUAACACGUAGCCAACCUGCCUCCGCGACGGGGACAACCCUCCGAAAGGGGGGCUAAUAUCCGAUGGUCUUCUUGGGGCGGAAGCUCUGAGAAGUAAAGGCACUUCGGUGCCGCGCGGAGAGGGGGCUGCGGCCCAUCAGCUAGACGGCGGGGUAAUGGCCCACCGUGGCAACGACGGGUAGGGGGCCUGAGAGGGUGGCCCCCCACAUGGGGACUGAGACACGGCUCCGACUCCUACGGGAGGCAGCAGUGGGGAAUCUUGGGCAAUGGGCGAAAGCCUGACCCAGCGACGCCGCGUGCGGGACGAAGCCCUUCGGGGUGUAAACCGCUUUUCCAGGGGAAGAAUAAGGUGAGGAGGGAAUGCCUCAUCGAUGACGGUACCCUGGGAAUAAGCCACGGCUAACUACGUGCCAGCAGCCGCGGUAAGACGUAGGUGGCGAGCGUUACCCGGAUUCACUGGGCGUAAAGGGCGCGUAGGCGGUUUGGCAAGUCGCCUGUGAAAGCCCCCGGCUCAACUGGGGGAGGUCGGGCGAAACUGCUAGGCUGGAGGACGGCAGAGGAAGGUGGAACGCCCGGAGUAGCGGUGAAAUGCGUAGAUACCGGUCGGUAUCCCGAUGGCGAAGGCAACCUUCUGGGUCGUUCCUGACGCUGAGGCGCGAAAGCGUGGGGAGCAAACCGGAUUAGAUACCCGGGUAGUCCACGCCCUAAACGA